rnacentral:rRNA from 1 species
GAUGAACGCUGGCGGCGUGCCUAAUACAUGCAAGUCGAGCGAAAAGAUGAGGAUCUUGCUCCUCUGACGUUAGCGGCGGACGUGUGAGUAACACGUGUAUAACCUACCUAUAUGACUGGGAUCACUUCGGGAAACCGGAGCUAAUACCGUAGAAUCUCUUGCACCGCAGGGGUCAAUAGUGAAAGACGGCGUUGCUGUCUCUAAUCGAUGCUUACGCGCCGCAUUAGCUAGUUGGUAAGGUCAUGGGCUAUCAAGGGAACCAUGCGUAGCCGACGUGAGAGGGUGAUCGGCCACACUGGAACUGAGACACGGUCCAUACUACUACGAGACGCAGCAGUAGCGAAUCGUCCGCAAUAGGCGAAAGCCUGACGGAGCAACGGCGAGUGUGUGAUGAAAGCCUUCGGAUCGUAAAGCUCUGUUAUUAGGGAAGAACCACUGUGUAAGUAACUAUGCACGUCUUGACGGUACCUAAUAAGAAAGCCACGGCUAACUACGUG